GAAUGGAUGGGUCCUGGCUCUACCCUUCUUAAACCUCAUUUAAGGGCUGACUGCCACCCAGAGAAGGAUCUCUGGUUGGAUAUCCUUCCCUUGUGGAGUUUCUUUUGUGAGCCUCAGUCUUCAGAGAAGGUCAUUCCUUGUGUAAUAAUGCUUCAUUAGCCAAAUGCAAUUUGCUUUUGAUGAAGUCUUGAUAGCUGCCACCAUGUCUGAUGAAGACAUGAAUGUGAUGAAGAGACAGUGAUGUGAAUAACAUAUCAGCUGUUGAACCAAGAAAGUGGUCCGUGGAAUCAGGACCUAGAUGACCUGAAAAGACCAGGAAGGUGGAGCCUUAUUCAACCUAGGGAGGUGAUUGAGAGCUCUUUUGAAAGUCAAUGCACUCCUUUGAGAAAAAGCUGAUGGACUGAGGAGCCUCAGAUUUGUAGCCAAAGUUGUUCGGGUUUGGAACUCCAGAAGUUCUCAUAUAAGAAGGAAGGUAUGGGAAGCUUGGCAAAGAUAAACAGAAAU